rnacentral:rRNA from 1 species
GAUGAACGCUGGCGGCGUGCCUAAUACAUGCGAGUCGAGCGAACGGACGAGAAGCUUGUUUCUCUGAUGUUAGCGGCGGACGGGUGAGUAACACGUGGAUAACCUACCUAUAAGACUGGGGUAACUUCGGGAAACCGGAGCUAAUACCGGAUAAUAUUUUGAACCGCAUGGUUCAAAAGUGAAAGACGGUCUUGCUGUCACUUAUAGAUGGUUCCGCGCUGCAUUAGCUAGUUGGUAAGGUAACGGCUUACCAAGGCAACGAUGCAUAGCCGACCUGAGAGGCUGAUCGGCCACACUGGAACUGGAACACGGUCCAGAGUCCUACGGGAGGCAGCAGUAGGGAAUCUUCCGCAAUGGGCGGAAGCCUGACGGAGCAACGCCGCGUGAGUGAUGAAGGUCUUCGGAUCGUAAAGCUCUGUUAUUGGGGAAGAACAGAUGUGGAAGUAACUGUGCACAUCUUGACGGUACCUAAUCAAAAAGCAACGGCUAACUACGUG